rnacentral:rRNA from 1 species
CCUACGGGAGGCAGCAGUGGGGAAUAUUGCACAAUGGGCGCAAGCCUGAUGCAGCGACGCCGCGUGAGGGAUGACGGCCUUCGGGUUGUAAACCUCUUUCAGCAGGGAAGAAGCGCAAGUGACGGUACCUGCAGAAGAAGCGCCGGCUAACUACGUGCCAGCAGCCGCGGUAAUACGUAGGGCGCAAGCGUUGUCCGGAAUUAUUGGGCGUAAAGAGCUCGUAGGCGGCUUGUCACGUCGGGUGUGAAAGCCCGGGGCUUAACCCCGGGUCUGCAUUCGAUACGGGCAGGCUAGAGUGUGGUAGGGGAGAUCGGAAUUCCUGGUGUAGCGGUGAAAUGCGCAGAUAUCAGGAGGAACACCGGUGGCGAAGGCGGAUCUCUGGGCCAUUACUGACGCUGAGGAGCGAAAGCGUGGGGAGCGAACAGGAUUAGAUACCCUAG